rnacentral:rRNA from 1 species
CACGUUGGGUGCGAGCGUUGUCCGGAAUUAUUGGGCGUAAAGAGCUCGUAGGCGGUGUGUCGCGUCGGCCGUGAAAACCUGCAGCUUAACUGUGGGCUUGCGGUCGAUACGGGCAUCACUGGAGUUCGGCAGGGGAGACUGGAAUUCCUGGUGUAGCGGUGAAAUGCGCAGAUAUCAGGAGGAACACCGGUGGCGAAGGCGGGUCUCUGGGCCGAUACUGACGCUGAGGAGCGAAAGCGUGGGGAGCGAACAGG